GAAUUUGGGGGAGGCAGUGACUGGUAGCAGAAGGAAGUUGAAGAGACACACACAGAGAGAAAUAUCCAGAGAGAGAAGGGGACAGAAGCAGGAAGAGAUGCAAAGAGAGAACAGCAAGAGAUGAGGGAGAAAUAGAAGGCUUAUUUAACCCUGACGGAAAAGGAGGAUGUCGUUCGGUUCUCAUCAAGACAAGAAUCAGGCUGGGGAACAAAGAGGAUAGAUAAACGUAUCCAGGACUGGGCUGGAGAACUAGGCAACAGUUGUGAAUAUUGCUGUCACUUCUAGAACUAAUCAGUGAGUAUGGGAUGGGCCAAGUUGAUGUAGAAAAACAGACGAUUUUAACUUUGUUCUUGGUCUGAGUUUCAGGAAUGUCCCCUGGCUUCUGGGUGACCUUGGACCAAAUAUUUCCUGUCCUUCUAAACUCAGCCUUUCGGAGGACCAGAGUUACCUUGAUUUGAUGAGAACAACCUGGGAAGUCCCCUCACACAUUUUUUUAAGAACGAUGUAAAUUGAGCCAGGUAUGGUGGUGCACAUUUGUGAUCCCAGAGGGGUAAAGACAGGAACAUCAGAGUUCAAGGUUGUCCUUGUCUAUAUAGGGAGUUUGAGGUCAGCCUAAGCUACGUGGGCAUGGGGGUUGGGGGUGAAGGAAAACAACACCAUAAAAACCUUAAGAACUAGCCAAGGUUUGUCUCUCUCUUCGGCUAGACAGCCCACAAACCACUUUAUCUCAAGAAAUUCUUACAAAAUAUUUGCCAAGUGGUCAGGCAGAGACUCUGAGAUGGGAGGCCAUUCACCCAAGAUCACCCAGAGAAUACAAGGCAGAGCUGGGUUGAAGCAGCCUUUUUGUGGAGAAAGACCAGCAAUGGUGUCCACAGAAGCCAGAAGAGGUGUCAGAUCCCUCAGAGGAUUGUGAGCUGCUCAAUGUAGGUGCUGAGGAUGCAACUCUGGCCCUUAUAACCAAGCGGUAAGCACUCAUAACCACAGAGCCAUUUCUCAAGCCCCAGAGAAUUUGUGUGUGUGUGUGU